rnacentral:rRNA from 1 species
UACGUAGGGGGCAAGCGUUGUCCGGAUUUAUUGGGCGUAAAGAGCGUGUAGGCGGCCAUACAGGUCCGUUGUGAAAACUGGAGGCUUAACCUCCAGACGUCGAUGGAAACCGUAUGGCUAGAGUCCGGAAGAGGAGAGUGGAAUUCCUGGUGUAGCGGUGAAAUGCGUAGAUAUCUGGAGGAACACCGGUGGCGAAGGCGGCGUUCUGGACUGUUUCUGACACUGAGGAACGAAAGCCAGGGGAGCAAACGGG